AAGAGAUAAUGCAACAAAAGGUAAAAGGUAAACAACAGUGGAGGUCAUUAAUCAAGCUUUCCACUGUGCCCUGCUGCCGCCACACCUUAGCUGGUUGUGACAACAGUACCAGACGGAGCAGCCAGCCCACAUCAACUCUCAUAUUUUAAGAACCUCACUCUCAUUUGUCACCAUCACUUGAUUAGUUAAAGCUACGGGAGCUGAUUGUAAAUCAAACAUCUUGGAACAGACUGAGUUGCAACAAAAGCUAAUUAGACAUGCCAUUGAUGCGCAUGGGGAAAAAAAAGUUUAACAUGUCUGUAUUUAAGGUAGAAAAAUGUCUGUGAUUCAUAAAAGCAGAGGCAUCGAGUUUGAGUGUCAAAUGUUCACUCAUUUUCACUCUACAGUAAGAUAAGAUAUGCCCAUUUGGAAUUUAGGAACAUGUAAAAUGUCAAUACCACUGAUACAAUAUACAUUUUAUAAUAGUGAGAUCUUAAAGCAUUUUAUGCACGUUUGUGAGUCUGAGGCGUUUGCAAAUGUGAGGCGAUAUGGGAAAUGGCAAAUGAGCUUCACCCACUGACAGCAUCAGUAGCUCACACAGACAAAAGGUGAGUGUCAAGAUGAAAGAGGAAGUGCUUUUCUGGUCUUCCUGCUCUGAGUGGCUUAAU